AUUAUAAGUCUUCAAGUGAUUGUAAUUGGGAAGAAAUAUGAAGAGAUUGAUUCAUGGUAUAUGCUUGCUCUUGUGGCUGCAGCUGAACUGGGUGAGUGAAGGAGAGAAACUGGAGCAGAGUCCGUCUAUCCUGAGCAUGCAGGAGGGAGACAGCUGUGUCAUCAACUGUACUUAUUCAGACAGUGCUUCAGACUACUUUGUUUGGUACAAGCAAGAGCCAGGACAAGGUCUUCAGCUCAUUAUAAACAUUCGUUCAAAUAGGGACAAAAUUGAAAAUGAAAAAUUCCUUGUGUUUUUGAAAAAGAAGGACAAACACUUCUUCCUGCACAUCAAAGAUGCCCAGCCUGGGGACUCGGCUGUCUACUUCUGUGCAGCAAGAACACAUUGCUCCCCAGGCACCUGCAGCCUGUCUUCAAACUUGCCACCAAGACUGGAGCUCCAGCCCAUACUUUGCCACAGACCUUCUGGCAUAGCAUUUGACAAUUGUUUACAAGUAGCAGCUAAACACAAACAUUUAGGUCUAAGGAGACCCUGACAGACUGGCUUUGAACCCUGAUCCUCAAAUCUCAGCCAUCUGAGUAUUACAUGCAUGAUCCACUGGCAACCAGAGUGAUGGUAUCUUGGAAUCCAGACAUUUUCUGUGAGUUUACAAUAACUAUUCAAACUUCAUACAAAAACUUUAAUAUCAAUAUCAACUUUCUCUUGUGCAUGGAGUUUGAGUCUGUUGAAAGUUUCAGGUUACUUUAUUGGAUUAUCUAUUAUAUGCUAAAUAUGUUACAUAAAUAAAGCAUCAAAAUAUAAAACUGAGAAGUCUGUAUCCAGAUUAUCUGUUUGAACCAUUUGAUCAAGUGAUACAACGAAGUUGGUA